AACGAACGCUGGCGGCGUGCCUAAUACAUGCAAGUCGAGCGCAGGAAAUCAUCCGAACCCUUCGGGGGGACGUUGAUGGAAUGAGCGGCGGACGGGUGAGUAACACGUAAAGAACCUGCCCUCAGGUCUGGGAUAACCACGAGAAAUCGGGGCUAAUACCGGAUGGGUCAUCGGACCGCAUGGUCCGAGGAUGAAAGGCGCUUCGGCGUCGCCUGGGGAUGGCUUUGCGGUGCAUUAGCUAGUUGGUGGGGUAAUGGCCCACCAAGGCGACGAUGCAUGGCCGACCUGAGAGGGUGAUCGGCCACACUGGGACUGAGACACGGCCCAGACUCCUACGGGAGGCAGCAGUAGGGAAUCUUCCACAAUGGACGAAAGUCUGAUGGAGCAACGCCGCGUGAACGAUGAAGGCCUUCGGGUCGUAAAGUUCUGUUGUAAGGGAAGAACAAGUGCCGCAGGCAAUGGCGGCACCUUGACGGUACCUUGCGAGAAAGCCACGGCUAACUACGUGCCAGCCGCCGCGGUAAGAC
rnacentral:rRNA from 1 species